rnacentral:rRNA from 1 species
GUGGGGAAUAUUGGACAAUGGGCGAAAGCCUGAUCCAGCCAUGCCGCGUGUGUGAAGAAGGUCUUCGGAUUGUAAAGCACUUUAAGUUGGGAGGAAGGGCAGUAAGUUAAUACCUUGCUGUUUUGACGUUACCGACAGAAUAAGCACCGGCUAACUUCGUGCCAGCAGCCGCGGUAAUACGAAGGGUGCAAGCGUUAAUCGGAAUUACUGGUCGUAAAGCGCGCGUAGGUGGUUUUGUAAGUUGGAGGUGAAAUCCCCGGGCUCAACCUGGGAACUGCCUCCAAAACUGCAUGACUAGAGUACGGUAGAGGGUAGUGGAAGUUCCUGUGUAGCGUUGAAAUUCGUAGAUAUAGGAAGGAACACCAGUGGCGAAGGCGACUACCUGGACUGAUACUGACACUGAGGUGCGAAAGCGUGGGGAGCAAACAGGAUUAGAUACCCUAGUAGUCC